GAUGAACGCUGGCGGCGUGCCUAAUACAUGCAAGUCGAGCGAACGGACGAGAAGCUUGCUUCUCUGAUGUUAGCGGCGGACGGGUGAGUAACACGUGGAUAACCUACCUAUAAGACUGGGAUAACUUCGGGAAACCGUAGCUAAUACCGGAUAAUAUUUUGAACCGCAUGGUUCAAAAGUGAAAGACGGUCUUGCUGUCACUUAUAGAUGGAUCCGCGCUGCAUUAGCUAGUUGGUAAGGUAACGGCUUACCAAGGCAACGAUGCAUAGCCGACCUGAGAGGGUGAUCGGCCACACUGGAACUGAGACACGGUCCAGACUCCUACGGGAGGCAGCAGAAGGGAAUCGUCCGCAAUGGGCGAAAGCCUGACGGAGCAACGCCGCGUGAGUGAUGAAGGUCUUCGGAUCGUAAAACUCUGUUAUUAGGGAAGAACAUAUGUGUAAGUAACUGUGCACAUCUUGACGGUACCUAAUCAGAAAGCCACGGCUAACUACGUG
rnacentral:rRNA from 1 species